AGUCCUGUAGCUCAGCGGUUAGAGCACUCGCCUUUCAAGCGAGAAAUCUGGAUUCGAUUCCCUGCAGGACGA